AGAAUCAACGCUGGCGGCGUGCCUAACACAUGCAAGUCGAACGCGAAAGUCCCGCAAGGGGCAAGUAGAGUGGCAAACGGGUGAGUAACACGUGGGUGACCUGCCUUCGAGUGGGGGAUAACGUCCCGAAAGGGACGCUAAUACCGCAUGACAUCCUGCCUUUGGAAAGGCGGAGAUCAAAGCCGGGAUCGCAAGACCUGGCGCUUGAAGAGGGCCCGCGCCUGAUUAGCUAGUUGGUAGGGUAACGGCCUACCAAGGCGACGAUCAGUA
rnacentral:rRNA from 1 species